AUCGAAGAAAUAUAAAACAUAAAAAAUAUAAAACGUCUGCGACUUAGAUAUUUAUUUGUUCGCAUUAAAUUUAAAAAUUAUGCAACUUGAGCAAAGUCCACUUGUAGCAUCAGCGAAUGAAAAACAAGGUUUCACUACUCUCCAAAAGUGCACUUUCUGCGUUUUCGGUCUGCUUAUGGUUUUCACUGUAAUCGCCUUAUUCCAUUUAUCAAAACAAUUGGAAGCCGAAAAGAAUACACCGAAGGUAGCAAAGCAAGCAAAAUUUGGCCACUGAAUUUAGUAUGAUUUCAGUGAAUAAUUCAAAAUGAUGUCAUAUUAUUUCUUUACCGUGUAUUUGUUGCAAGGCCUUCUCGGAUUUGCUGUAAUCGGUGUGGGCGUGUUUUCCCUCUUGACUUGCAGUUUAGCCACUGUAUUCACGAUGGGAACCCUUCUUGAGUG